rnacentral:lncRNA from 1 species
CGUGAGGCAUGGAGUUUCCCAGUGAUGUCCAAGGCUCUUGAUACUUCCUGGCUUCUAGGAUAGAUAAAUGCAGCUCCGUUGUCACUCUGGAUUGACAGUGGGAACCUCUACCUAGGAAUGAUCUUCCAAAAUGUCAAGACAUGUGGAGAAGGGAUGUGGAGCUCCCAGGAUCCCUCUGCAUGUGCCACUCUCCCCAAAUUUUCCAUGUGUUCACCAACCUGGGAGUUCUCUGAACCCCAUGUUGAACUCAAUCUUCAGCCCUUCUCCCCACCUUGGAGAUGUGGUGAAGGCGAUGGGGCUGAGAGUUCCAACCCACCUAUCACACAAUUGGUUCCCCUAGCAACAAGCCCCCACCCUUAUGGUUCUCCUGAAGUCACCCCAUUAACAUAAAUUCAGGUGUGGUUGAAAGGGGCUUGUUAUGAAUAACAAAAGAUAUCUAUUUCACCUUUAUUGCUCUGGAGUUAUUUCUGGAACUGAGGACAAAAGUAAUUAUUGUAACAAAAGAUGCCCCUAUAGCUCCCAUAUCAGAAAUUUUACAAGAGUUUUAGGAGCUCUGCUCCAGAAAUGAAGUGAAGGCAUUUCUUAUUAUAAAUCACAAUAUCUCUCCAACCUAACAGCAUUCCUGCUGAAGGCAGGGCAGGGUGAUCAGACAUCACCUGGGGGGAUGGAGUGGGGCAUGAGGAUCCAAACGCACCUUGACAGCCCUGAGCUCUUGAAGAAAUCUAUAUUUCGCUGUUUCCAGCCUUUUAACUGGUAAAAUGGGGGUGUUUCAUGGGAAUCUCCGUGGCCUGAUCAAUCCUUGUUCUAAAAGCCUAUUGAUCACAGAAACGUGAUGACCUAUGAACAGAGAGUCUAAGCUGACAGCCAUCAUCAAUGACAACUGAAAGAUCUGGUGUGGGGACUCCCAGUCUGUAACACCAGAGGGUCAACAUUGCCAACCCCCUCCCCUGUAUCCCACUGGCUUAUAUAACUGCUUCAAGAUUCUGUUCCCCCUUAAGAUGGUUCUUUUGGACAUUCAGUUGGCAUCUUCCCCUUGGCUAGCAAGCUGUAAUAAAAUGCCCUUUCUCUGCCACCAUGUUGCCUCUUGACAAUGGCUUUUGUCUGACAGCAAGCCAAUUGUGCCCUUUGUGCAGUAACACUGGCUGCUCUUCCCACCUGUCCUUGUGCCCAUACUUCCAACUUAAUUAGGUUCAAUACAUUUAGGAGAAUCUCUUCCUUCUCACUUUGAAUGACCUUUGACUAAUGAACCCGGCUGGAUAUGCACCCUCCAGGAGAGCCAACUGCUCUGGAGAUUUUAUGACCCCUCCUUGUCUAUUUACCUCCCAGCUGUGAUAAGACAAUAACUUUAUUCUUUUGAGUUCCUUAGAAAUGUGAUGACCUAUGAACAGAGAGUCUAACCUGAC